AUGGCUUACUAUUCAGAUCAUCAUGCUUAUGCGAGCAACACUACAAACAGCACGGAAAGUAUUCAAGACCUGAUAAGCCAUUCACCCGCUGAAUGUCAGCGUGGUUACUCUCACCCUCCCGAUAGUUAUGGCAUGAGCUUCGCCCCACAACCUAGCUCAUACCAAAACAAUUACUCACAUGGGUGGCCUGAAAACCCGAAUAUGUCAUAUAGGAGCAACAACCCUGAGAUCUCAUCGUUUGCCUCUAGUUAUCCAAUGCAGGGAUUUAGGUACAAUGAGGAGAGCCACAACUAUGCUCCACAACAGAUUUAUUCAGCUCCUACUCAUAUACCUCAACACUAG
rnacentral:rRNA from 1 species